rnacentral:rRNA from 1 species
AUUGAACGCUGGCGGCAUGCUUUACACAUGCAAGUCGAACGGCAGCGCGGGCUUCGGCCUGGCGGCGAGUGGCGAACGGGUGGGUAAUGCAUCGGAACGUGCCCAGUAGUGGGGGAUAGGCCGGCGACAGCCGGAUUAAUACCGCAUACGACCUGAGGGUGAAAGCGGGGGAGCGAAAGGCCUCGCGCUAUUGGAGCGGCCGAUGUCGGAUUAGCUAGUUGGUGGGGUAAAGGCUUACCAAGGCGACGAUCCGUAGCUGGUCUGAGAGGACGACCAGCCACACUGGAACUGAGACACGGCCCAGACUCCUACGGGAGGCAGCAGUGGGGAAUUUUGGACAAUGGGGGCAACCCUGAUCCAGCCAUGCCGCGUGCGUGAAGAAGGCCUUCGGGUUGUAAACCGCUUUUGUUCGGGAAGAAAUCCUCUGGGCUAAUACCCCGGUGGGAUGACGGUACCGGAAGAAUAAGCACCGGCUAACUACGUG